rnacentral:rRNA from 1 species
UACGGAGGGUGCGAGCGUUGUCCGGAAUCAUUGGGCGUAAAGGGCGCGUAGGUGGCCCGGUCAGUUCGUGGUGAAAGCGCGGGGCUCAACCCUGCGUCGGCCAUGAAUACUGCCGCGGCUGGAGCACUGUAGAGGCAGGCGGAAUUCCGGGUGUAGCGGUGGAAUGCGUAGAGAUCCGGAAGAACACCAGUGGCGAAGGCGGAACUCUGGGCCGGAACUGACGCUGAGGAGCGAAAGCGUGGGGAGCGAACAGG